UGUGGGAGCUGGCUUGCCUGCGAUGUUGGCACCUCGGUGUGCCAGCAGGAAAGCGGUGCUGCCAUCGCAGGCAAGCCAGCUCCCACA
rnacentral:misc_RNA from 1 species